ensembl:misc_RNA Y_RNA Y RNA
GGCUGGUCUGAAGGUCAUGAGUUAUCUUAGUCGAUUGUUCCCAAUCAGUCAGAGGUUCAAGUUCUUGUUUUACUCUUUCCCUCCUUCUCACCACUGCACUUGACUGGUCUAAA